rnacentral:lncRNA from 1 species
UGCGUAUCCUGUCUCCACCCCAACUGCCGCUGGGUUUGAACUGCCGGCUGGACCACUCACCAGAAUGGGAGGCAGCCUCUGCUGCUGUGGUGAAGGUUGUUGCCCCGAUGAACCGGAAUCCACGCACAGAUUUAGAGCGCAUAUGCGCCGUGAUCCUGAUUUGCCCCCUGAAGGUCAGCUAUAUACAGACUACCACCAGGAGUGGCAGUGGCCCUCGGUGACUUCCUGGGACCUGAUCCGGGCAGCACACUCGACGUUCUCAGCAAUUCAGGAAUACAUGGCAAGAUAUUCUCUCUCGAAGAAACUCCGCAGGAAAACCAGAGAUGAAGAUGCCGCCCGAAAAGUGCAGGCAGAGGAACAGGCCGAGGAGAAAGAUUCCACCGAGGAUCUGAAGGUGGAACUUUCGAAGAAGAAAAAAACUCCAUGGAAAGUGAAGGAGGCCUGGAGAGAGCAGGAGAGUGUGACGGAGUCCAGUGUGGUGUCCGCAGAAGUGGCCCUAGCUCUUUGUGAGCAAACAGGAGUAGGACCUCCCAGGAAAGGACGUUUCAAGUUUCUUGCAGCAGAGCUUCCUAGCGAGAAGUCCACAGAGAAAGUCGUGGCCGUUGUCAAUAGGGACUCAGCGCUUUGGGCAAGCGGUCCCAUGGAGGGUCCCGUGGAAAAAUUCAUCUAUGAAUCAGAUGAGGAGGCCCCACGACAGUGGCAGGUCAGGCCACCUGCUGUUGUCACAGAAAAAGCCGGCGGACUGCCUGAAGAAAAAGGUUGCAAGGAGGAGUCCCUGGAAGACAGCAACAAAGGCUCAGCUGAGGAUGUUCCCCAGCAUUUGAAGGUUACCUGCGCAGACCAGGAGAAUGGAAGCUAUAAGGACAGCAACUUUUCUGAAACCCAUCAUGACAAAGACUCUGCAAGUGGUGGAGAUGCUUCAGCUUCUGGAGCAGAUACGGAAGAGCCCAAGUGUGCAGACGGCCGUCAGCAUGCAAAUGAAAACCGCAGUUUAAACUCUAAGUUUCAACCAGAAUCUAACAGCUCCUGGAUUUCCCGUGGCUCACACUCUUCAGAAACAACUCACAAAGAGCCUGAGGAAGCAGCUCUCCCUUAUCAGUGGGCCAGUUUAUUUGUCCAUCCCUGGGACUAG